rnacentral:rRNA from 1 species
UACGUAGGGCGCAAGCGUUAUCCGGAAUUAUUGGGCGUAAAGAGCUCGUAGGCGGUUUGUCGCGUCUGCCGUGAAAGCCCUCGGCUCAACCGGGGAAGUGCACCCGAAACUGCAAAGCUAGAGUCUCGGAGAGGAUCGUGGAAUUCUCGGUGUAGAGGUGAAAUUCGUAGAUAUUGGGAAGAACACCGGUGGCGAAGGCGGCUCUCUGGACCGAGACUGACGCUGAGGCGCGAAAGCGUGGGGAGCAAACAGG